rnacentral:lncRNA from 1 species
GGUAGUAGCGCUGCCUGCAAACCAGCACCAAGGCUGCAAACGAAGCCAGAAAGAUGGUGGCCAGCACACCUAUGGCAACUAUCACCACGGUCUCCAUGCUUCCGGGGAGCUCCUGACUCAGUCCCGUUCACAUCGUCCUCAUGGGCUAAGGCUGCUGGAAGUGGCAAACUGGGGGAAGAGGAUGGCAGGAGCUAGGUUCCUCCACGACACCUCCAGAGACCUGAGGGCCUCAAGCUGCAGCUCCGGGGCACAUCCCGCUGCGCUCCCACGACGGCCCCGCGGAUGGCAAAGUCAGCGGCAUCGCCUAUGCAGGCAAUCAAAGGAUGUUGAUGGAUAAGUGUUUCAGGCAGAAUAAUGGCCCUCAAAGAUGUUGACACCAGAAUCUUCAGAACCUUUGCAUAUGUUACCUAACAUGACAAAAGGGACUUUGCUGAUGUGAUUAAGGUUAAGAACUUUGAGAAGGGAAGAUUAUCCUGGAUUAUACAGGUCGACGUUUAUUUCUUUCUGAACUUUCCUGGAGGAUCAUCGGCCAUACUCCAGCAGAAGGGUGGAUUUGAAAAAAUAACGUUUCCACGGCAACAGUGGCAGCAAUUCAAAGGAAGACGUUGGAGAAUUCACAUGCUAUUUUAGCUGGCUCUGUGAUUGCAAUCACACAAAUCAUUACAUUCCAGCGAGAUCCCAUCAACAGAAGGUUUUUCCAUUUCAGUCUGUCAAGAAUUUGACUUGGGGAAGAAGAAGAAAAGAAGGUGGAUUUCAGCAUGAAAGAAUCUAAACAGUCAUUAGUGAACAAAUGUGUAGCAGUGCUGUCCAACAGAACUUUCUGAAGAAGUAAUGGGAAUACUCUGUAUCUGUGAUGUCCUGUAUGGUAGCCACUGGCCUCACACAGCUCUUGAGCACUUGAAAUGUGGCUACUGUGACUGAGUAAUUGAGUUUUAAAAUUUCAUCAAUUUUAAUUAAUUGAAAUUUAAAUAGCCACAUGAGGCCAGUGACUACAGAAUUGAACAGCACAGGUCUCACAGAUGGACUAAGAGUAAGCCAGUUACGAAGAAGCUUAUACAGGAAGACCGGCUAAAAUAUGUCAAAGGAGAGUUUCUCUUUCUGAACUCCGAGGAGCUGUUCAAAUAAGACUGGUCUGGAGAGAGUUUUGGGUGGCUGGAGGUAUUUUCACCCCUCCACUUACUGUGCCUAACCUUAGUAUUGUUGCCAUUCUCACGUUUCUGUAUGACUCCAUCUCCCUUGUUCUGUUCCGAUGCCGCUUUUUCAGUUUUUCUGAGCUCUCAAUUAAACACAGUGAAAUGAA